CCCUCCUUACCUCUCCAAAAAAAAAAUCCCCAAAUCAUCUCAAACCUGAACUCUUCUCUCCCUCCUCCUUCUCGGUGAUGACACCGAUUCACCUCCGCCGUUUGCCAUCGCCGUUCACCAACGCCUCUCCCUUCGCCGUCCGUCGGUCACUGCUCCGCCAGCGUCUUCCUCACGCCGAGGGAAAUUCGUUCCUCCUUCCCCAUUCUCUCUCUCGCUCGAUUUCCCAGCCGCGCCGUCACUCCGUCGAGCUGCGGUCCUUCCCGCCGCCAUCUCUGCCGGCGUCAUCCGGGUGCACCGCCGAGACAGCCACCGCCACGAUGAUUCGCCGCUGUGGUCGGGGCUCGUCAAACGGUUGUCGUGCUGCUGCUCGGUGCGUGCAACACCGCCGUCACCUCAGGAGCUUGAGCUUGUCGUUGCAGCUCAGGCAGGUGUAAGAUGAAGCAGAGGCGGGUUGGCUGAAGCGCAGGGUGCUGCAGCUGUGCUGCUCCCCUUUUUCUUGGCUCGGAGCAGCUGGACAUGGGCUGGGGUGUGCAGGGGUUGCAGCCUUCCACCCUUCCUAUUUUGGCAAUUUUUUGUCUUCAUCAAAAAGAGGUGAAGGAGUAGUUGGCUGGAAACGGUCUCCCGCGCUAUGGCUCACUGCUCUCGGCUGGGGGGGGCGCUUGAAGGGACACUGCCAUUUCA